rnacentral:rRNA from 1 species
GACGGAGCAGUGAAACCACCGCGGGGCGACGGAAGUCCCCGUUGAAGAGUGUAGGUGUUGAGGAUGGCAGGCAAAUCCACCGUCCGAGCUGAACUUGAUAGUAUGGAGUCUUCUUCGGAAGAAUCCAAUAGUGUGGGUAAUCAUACUCCCGAGAAAAUCCGCUAAGCUUAACCCAUGCGGCACCCGUACCGCAAACGGACACACGUGGUCGGGUAGAACAUACUGAGGCGUUGAGAGAUUCAUGGUUAAGGAACUAGGCAAAUUGACCCUGUAACUUCGGGAUAAAGGGUCCUUGUGAAUAGCGAGGCGCAGAGAAUAGGUCCAGGCAACUGUUUAACAAAAACACAGGGCUGUGCAAACUCGAAAGAUGACGUAUACAGCCUGACACCUGCCCGGUGCCGGAAGGUUAAGAGGAGAUGUCACUAGCAAUAGGAAGCAUUGAAUUGAAGCCCCGGUAAACGGCGGCCGUAACAAUAACGGUCCUAAGGUAGCGAAAUUCCUUGUCGGGUAAGUUCCGACCUGCACGAAUGGUGUAAUGAUCCGGACGCUGUCUCAACCAUGAGCUCAGUGAAAUUGUAGUAUCGGUGAAGAUGCCGAUUACCCGCGAUGGGACGAAAAGACCCCGUGAACCUUUACUACAGCUUAGCAUUGACCUUGGUCAUCCGAUGUGUAGGAUAGGCCGGAGGCUUCGAAGCGGGAGCGCCAGCUUUCGUGGAGCCAUCCUUGAAAUACGGCCCUUUGGCUGUCUGAGGUCUAACGCGUGAAACGCGGACACUGCUUGGUGGGUAGUUUGACUGGGGUGGUCGCCUCCAAAAGCGUAACGGAGGCUUCCAAAGGUGCCCUCGGGUCGAUUGGUAACCGACCUCAAAGAGUGCAAUGGCAUAAGGGCGCUUGACUGGGAGGCAGACAUGCCGAGCAGGCAGGAAACUGGGGCAUAGUGAUCCGGCGGAUGUGUAUGGAAACUCCGUCGCUCAAAGGAUAAAAGGUACUCCGGGGAUAACAGGCUGAUCCCCCCCAAGAGCUCAUAUCGACGGGGUGGUUUGGCACCUCGAUGUCGGCUCGUCACGUCCUGGGGCUGGAGAAGGUCCCAAGGGUUGGGCUGUUCGCCCAUUAAAGUGGCACGCGAGCUGGGUUCAGAACGUCGUGAGACAGUUCGGUCUCUAUCUAUCGUGGGCGUGGGAGUUUUGAGUGGUGCCGUCACUAGUACGAGAGGACCGUGAUGGACAGACCUCCGGUUUACCAGUUGUGCCGCCAGGCGCACCGCUGGGUAUCUGAGUCUGGAUUGGAUAAGCGCUGAAAGCAUCUAAGUGCGAAGCCAGCCGCAAGAUGAGAACUCCAUUGAGGGUCGUCAGAGACGAUGACGUUGAUAGGAUGCAGGUGUAAAGACAGCGAUGUCAAAGCCGAGCAUUACUAAUUGCCC